rnacentral:rRNA from 1 species
GACGAACGCUGGCGGCGUGCUUAACACAUGCAAGUCGAGCGAUGAAAGCCUUAUGAACUAUUCGUAGUGAUUGGGGCCGGAUUAGCGGCGGACGGGUGAGUAACGCGCGAGCAACCUGCCUUAAACAACGGGAUAGCCUCGGGAAACCGGGAUUAAUACCGUAUGAGACCCCGCCUUCACAUGACGAAGAGGUUAAAGAUUAUCGGUUUAAGAUGGGUUCGCGUCUGAUUAGCUAGUUGGUGAGAUAAAAGCCCACCAAGGCAACGAUCAGUAGCCGGCUUGAGAGAGUGAACGGUCACAUUGGAACUGAGACACGGUCCAAACUCCUACGGGAGGCAGCAGUGGGGAAUAUUGCACAAUGGGGGAAACCUUGAUGCAGCGACGCCGCGUGAGCGAUGAAGGAAUUCGUUUCGUAAAGCUCUGUCCAAGGGGAAGAUAAUGACAGUACCCUUGGAGGAAGCCCCGGCUAAAUACGUGCCAGCCGCCGCGGUAA